rnacentral:rRNA from 1 species
AGAGUUUGAUCAUGGCUCAGAUUGAACGCUGGCGGAAUGCUUUACACAUGCAAGUCGAACGGCAGCACGGGAGCUUGCUCCUGGUGGCGAGUGGCGGACGGGUGAGUAAUAUAUCGGAACGUAUCUAUUAAUGGGGGAUAACUAGCCGAAAGGUUAGCUAAUACCGCAUACGCCCUGAGGGGGAAAGCUGGGGAUCUUCGGACCUGGCGUUAAUAGGGCGGCCGAUACCUGAUUAGCUAGUUGGUGGGGUAAAGGCCUACCAAGGCGACGAUCAGUAGCUGGUCUGAGAGGACGACCAGCCACACUGGGACUGAGACACGGCCCAGACUCCUACGGGAGGCAGCAGUGGGGAAUUUUGGACAAUGGGGGCAACCCUGAUCCAGCCAUUCCGCGUGAGUGAAGAAGGCCUUCGGGUUG